GUAUUUUACGGCGACGUCCAAAUGUAAACAAAUGUAUUUUGACAGAAUGAUAUCAGCUGGGCUAAUCGAACGGAUCGGUUUAGCGCGUAUUUUUUCACUUUGUCAUUGUGCAAGAUAUUUUUCCCCGGUUAGAAGAGCCGCUCUUAAAACACUAUGAAAAUAAAAGAAUGCAUAAUUUUGGUAAUAAUCAGCCUUAUUGCUUGGCAUUUUGUUGCGGUAGACGCACUCUCCAGAGUUCCAAAAAACAAACCCAAAAUGUUUGAGGAAAAACACCCACAGACCAUGAAUACCGCAUCUUCAUCGGAUGGAAUAAAUAUCACUUUAUUUUUAAUCAUCACUGUGUGCCGUAUCCUAUUUUAUUGAUUUAUCUUUGUAUAUGUGGAUAAAUAAAUAAGUUAUGUUAUAACCACUUUGGGAUUUGUUAUUUCGGAGUCUAUCAUACUAAUUGCUAAUUAGGAAAUGUUACUUCAAAGGACACAUAGACUUUAUCCUGGUAAGAGCUAAAAAGAUCUACGAGUUAUUGUUGCCUUUCUGGUCUGGUUCGACGUCACGUCCAGCCUGUUGGAGAAGCUUAGAAAGUGGAAUCGUAGCGUCCUGGCUUUAUGUUUAGGCAUGAGAGGAAUUAUAUUUUCGCUAAGACGGAACUAUAAGCUAGUAUUCCAGUAGAGAAAUGGAUGCUAUUUCUGGUGGAAACAAAUAAGCAGGAUCCAGGAUCCCGAAGCAUGAAAAGUGGGCUGAGUGGUAAAGAUGCCUGCCAGAGCGAAGCAUACAGGUCACUUUCGCUUUUGUUGCCAGUAGCAAAGAU